GAUGAAGAACGCAGCGAAAUGCGAUAAGUAAUGCGAAUUGCAGAAUUUCCGUGAGUCAUCGAAUCUUUGAACGCACAUUGCGCCCACUGGUAUUCCGGUGGGCAUGCCUGUUCGAGCGUCAUUAUCCUCCCUCAAACCCCGGGUUUGGUGCUGGACCCAAGUUGUGUGAACAACUGGUCUCAAAGACAAUGACGGCGUCCGUGGGACCCUCGGUGCAACGAGCUUUUAGGAGCACGCAUCGAGUUGCAAGGACCUUCCGGGCCGGUCUCCUUUACCAUUUUACAAGGUUGACCUCGGAUCAGGUAGGAAUACCCGCUGAACUUAAGCAUAUCAAUAAGCGGAGGA
rnacentral:misc_RNA from 1 species